rnacentral:rRNA from 1 species
UGGGGGAUAUUGCACAAUGGGCGAAAGCCUGAUGCAGCGACGCCGCGUGGGGGAUGAAGGCCUUCGGGUUGUAAACUUCUUUUGCUCUGAACAAGGCAUGCCUUUGGGGGGUGUUGAGCGUAGGGGUUGAUUAGCGCCGGCUAACUACGUGCCAGCAGCCGCGGUAAUACGUAGGGCGCGAGCGUUGUCCGGAAUUAUUGGGCGUAAAGGGCUUGUAGGUGGCUGGUUGCGUCUGUCGUGAAAGCUCAUGGCUUAACUGUGGGUUUGCGGUGGGUACGGGCUGGCUUGAGUGCAGUAGGGGGGGGUGGAAUUCCUGGUGUAGCGGUGGAAUGCGCAGAUAUCAGGAGGAAUACCGGUGGCGAAGGCGGGUCUCUGGGCUGUUACUGACGCUGAGGGGCGAAAGCGUGGGGAGCGAACAGG